rnacentral:rRNA from 1 species
AAACGACUCUCGGCAACGGAUAUCUCGGCUCUCGCAUCGAUGAAGAACGYAGCGAAAUGCGAUACUUGGUGUGAAUUGCAGAAUCCCGUGAACCAUCGAGUCUUUGAACGCAAGUUGCGCCCGAAGCCUUCGGGCCGAGGGCACGCCUGCCUGGGCGUCACGCA